rnacentral:rRNA from 1 species
CCUACGGGUGACAGCAGUGGGGAAUAUUGGGCAAUGGGCGCAAGCCUGACCCAGCAACGCCGCGUGAAGGAAGAAGGCUUUCAGGUUGUAAACUUCUUUUAAGAGGGAAGAGCAGAAGACGGUACCCCUUAAAUAAUCCACGGCGAACAACGGGCCAGCAGCCGCGGUAAUACGUAGGUGGCAAGCGUUGUCCGUAUUUACUGGGUGUAAAGGGCGUGUAGCCGGGCUGACAAGUCAGAUGUGAAAUUCCCGGGCUCAACCCCGGACCUGCAUUUGAAACUGUUGGUCUUGAGUAUCGGAGAGGCAGGCGGAAUUCCUAGUGUAGCGGUGAAAUGCGUAGAUAUUAGGAGGAACACCAGUGGCGAAGGCGGCCUGCUGGACGACAACUGACGGUGAGGCGCGAAAGCGUGGGGAGCAAACAGGAUUAGAUACCCGAGUAGUC